UAAACAAAGGCAAAUGUCUACAAACACAGACGGAAAAAUGGAUUAAAUUUGGUGGCUAUCGAUGACCUAGCCAAGCGCUCCCACCCAACCAUGGAUGCCCAUGUCGGCAAGAGCCCCAUCCUCGCGACUACGACAUUUCCAUCUCCCUCACUGGGAAAGCUUACUCACACAUUGUGGGCUUUACAAAUAUUUAAUAAAUAUGCGUUUAAGACCAAGACCUGGCCGCCGUCUUCAUAAUUUACGCGGUCAAAGCAGAGGAUUUGUUUUGCUGGAAAAAGGAUACAGGCGCCGCGGAAAGUUAUGCUCUACCAGCCACUUAUUGGUAGAGCUCGCAUAUAAACACGGCUCUCAAGAGGAACACACGCGAUGCUCGCGUGUCGGGUCACCUAAUCCUGAGGAGCUCCAGGGGAAAAGAAGGGACAGGC